CCCUUAGAUGUUCUGGGCCGCACGCGUGCUACACUGAGUGGAUCAGCGGGUCAGGUUGCGCGAAAGCGUUUCCUAAUCUUUAAAUCCGCUCGUGAUGGGGAUUGACGGUUGCAAUUUUCUGUCAUGAACGAGGAAUACCUUGUAAGCGCGGGUCAUCAUCCCGCGCUGAAUACGUCCCUGCCCUUUGUACACACCGCCCGUUGCUCCUACCGAUUGAGUGGUCCGGUGAGGCUUUGGGAUCUGAGCGGAAAGAGCGUUUCGCUGUUUCUGCUCGGAAAACUCAGUCGAACCUUAUCAUUUAGAGGAAGGAGAAGUCGUAACA
rnacentral:rRNA from 1 species